rnacentral:rRNA from 1 species
AAUAGAUACCCGGGUAGUCCACGCCGUAAACGAUGAGUGCUAAGUGUUAGGGGGUUUCCGCCCCUUAGUGCUGCAGCUAACGCAUUAAGCACUCCGCCUGGGGAGUACGGUCGCAAGACUGAAACUCAAAGGAAUUGACGGGGGCCCGCACAAGCGGUGGAGCAUGUGGUUUAAUUCGAAGCAACGCGAAGAACCUUACCAAGUCUUGACAUCCCACUGACCGCUAUGGAGACAUAGUUUUCCCUUCGGGGACAGUGGUGACAGGUGGUGCAUGGUUGUCGUCAGCUCGUGUCGUGAGAUGUUGGGUUAAGUCCCGCAACGAGCGCAACCCUUGAUCUUAGUUGCCAUCAUUUAGUUGGGCACUCUAAGGUGACUGCCGGUGACAAACCGGAGGAAGGUGGGGAUGACGUCAAAUCAUCAUGCCCCUUAUGACCUGGGCUACACACGUGCUACAAUGGACGGUACAAACGGUUGCCAACCCGCGAGGGGAGCUAAUCCGAUAAAAUCGUUCUCAGUUCGGAUUGUAGGCUGCAACUCGCCUACA